UCGAGGAUACUAUUCAGAAUCAUUUGUUUAGUCGACCAAAAAACGCCAACUAGCAGCAAUUGCAAUUCCACGAGGCUAGGAUGACGAGUGACGACAGCAGGCCCUUACGGAAGCCGAGAUAUCUAUCUCAUUGAUGACAGAUGCUCCUCUGGAGUGUGGGCCUGCUGUGUUCCGACUAGU
rnacentral:snoRNA from 1 species